AAAAAAAGGGGAUUAAAAUAUAAGUAUAAUAUUUAAUAGAGAUUAAAAAUAUUUUGUAGUUUAGUAUGAAUUAUUAAAAUUUUAAGUACCGUAAGGGAGGUUUGAAAUAAGUAAUGAAAAUAUUAAUUAUAAAAAAGUAAUAAUAUUACCUUUUGUAUAAGGGAUUUUUGAUAAAAGGUAAAUUAAUUAUAUUUCUCGAAAUUUGUAGAACUUAUAUAAUUUAAAAAAAAUUGUUGAAAUAAUUUUUAUAAAAUUAUAUAAGAAAUGAAAAUUUAGUCAAUACAAAUAUAUCUAGUUAAUAUAUUAAAUAUUUAAUAUAUAAUAUACAAAUAUGUAUUAUAAUUUUAUAGUGUGUAUAUUUAUCUAUUUAGGGAUAAGCUUAGAUAGAUUUAAUAAAAUGAAUAAUAUUAUUAAAAAGGCUUUAUAUUAGCUAUUAUUUUUAUAAAUAAUAUUAUUUAUAGAAUAUUUUUAAUCAAUAUUUUUAAUAAAAUGAAUUAUAAUUUUAUAAAAUUAUGAGAGUAUUAGUAUAAAUAAAAAUAUUAUUUUUAUGAAUUCGGCAAAAAAAAAUUCCAACUGUUUAACAAAAACAUUGCUUUUAGAUUUUUUUAAAAGUAAAUUCUGCUCAAUGAAUAUUUUUAAUUGCUGUAAUUGUUACACAAAGGUAUUGAAAUAAGGCUUUAAAUGGGUGCUAAGAGAAUGGAGUUAUGGUUUUUAGCUAUAUAAAAAUAAAAAAUAAAAUUUAAUUUUUUAUUGAAAAAGAUAAAAUAAUAUAGUGGGACAAGAAGACCCUAUAAAUCUUAAAUAUAGAUUUUAUUAUUAAAUAAUAAAAUCUAUAUUUUGGUUGGGGCGACAGAAAAAGAUAAAAAAUCUUUUUUUUGAUCCGAUUUAUUUUGAUUAAAAGAAAAAGAUACUUUAGGGAUAACAGCGUAAUUAUCUUGGAUAGUUCAUAUAGGUAAGAUAGUUUGCGACCUCGAUGUUGAAUUAGUGGACCUUAUUGGUGUAGAAAUUAAUAAAGGUAGAUUGCUCAUCUAUUAAAUCACUACAUGAUUUGAGUUCAGACCGGCGAAAGUCAGGUUGGUUUCUAUCUACUAUAUUAAUGAUAGUUUUAUAGUACGAAAGGAAUUGAAAUUAAUAAUUAUUAUACUAAUUUGACAGAUAAAUGUAUCAAAUUUAGAAUUUGAAUAUGCUUGUAUAAGCAUUUAGUAUAGAU
rnacentral:rRNA from 1 species